rnacentral:rRNA from 1 species
CCUACGGGCGGCUGCAGUGGGGAAUAUUGCACAAUGGGCGCAAGCCUGAUGCAGCCAUACCGCGUGUGUGAAGAAGGCCUUCGGGUUGUAAAGCACUUUCAGCGGGGAGGAAGGCGUUAAGGUUAAUAACCUUGUCGAUUGACGUUACCCGCAGAAGAAGCACCGGCUAACUCCGUGCCAGCAGCCGCGGUAAUACGGAGGGUGCAAGCGUUAAUCGGAAUUACUGGGCGUAAAGCGCACGCAGGCGGUCUGUCAAGUCGGAUGUGAAAUCCCCGGGCUCAACCUGGGAACUGCAUUCGAAACUGGCAGGCUAGAGUCUUGUAGAGGGGGGUAGAAUUCCAGGUGUAGCGGUGAAAUGCGUAGAGAUCUGGAGGAAUACCGGUGGCGAAGGCGGCCCCCUGGACAAAGACUGACGCUCAGGUGCGAAAGCGUGGGGAGCAAACAGGAUUAGAUACCCCAGUAGUC